GAUGAACGCUGGCUACAGGCUUAACACAUGCAAGUCGAGGGGAAACGACGGGGAAGCUUGCUUCCCCGGGCGUCGACCGGCGCACGGGUGAGUAACGCGUAUCCAACCUGCCUCUGACUGAGGGAUAACCCGUCGAAAGUCGGCCUAAUACCUCAUGGCAUCGUCUGCGGGCAUCCAACGACGAUUAAAGAUUUCAUCGGUCAGAGAUGGGGAUGCGUCUGAUUAGCUUGUUGGCGGGGUAACGGCCCACCAAGGCGACGAUCAGUAGGGGUUCUGAGAGGAAGGUCCCCCACAUUGGAACUGAGACACGGUCCAAACUCCUACGGGAGGCAGCAGUGAGGAAUAUUGGUCAAUGGGCGAGAGCCUGAACCAGCCAAGUAGCGUGCAGGAUGACGGCCCUAUGGGUUGUAAACUGCUUUUAUGCGGGGAUAAAGUGAGGGACGUGUCCUUCAUUGCAGGUACCGCAUGAAUAAGGACCGGCUAAGUCCGUG
rnacentral:rRNA from 1 species